rnacentral:tRNA from 1 species
GGUGGCUCAGUGGUAGGGUGCUUGCCUUGCAUGCAUGAGGUCCUGGGUUCGAUUCCUCAGCACCA